rnacentral:misc_RNA from 1 species
AGCAGCCGCGGUAAUUCCAGCUCCAAUAGCGUAUAUUAAAGUUGUUGCAGUUAAAAAGCUCGUAGUUGAAUUUCGGGGUUAGCAGGUCGGUCGUGCCAUCGGUAUGAACUGGUCUCGCUGAUCCCUCCCUCUUGACGAACUGUGAUGCCAUUAAUUUGGUGUCGCAGGGAAUCAGGACUGUUACUUUGAAAAAAUUAGAGUGUUUAAAGCAGGCUCACGCUUGAAUACAUUAGCAUGGAAUAAUGAAAUAGGACGUUUGAUCCUAUUUUGUUGGCUUCUAGGAUUGACGUAAUGAUUAAUAGGGAUAGUUGGGGGCAUUAGUAUUCAAUUGUCAGAGGUGAAAUUCUUGGAUUUAUUGAAGACUAACUACUGCGAAAGCAUUUGCCAAGGAUGUUUUCAUUAAUCAAGAACGAAAGUUAGGAGAUCGAAGACGAUCAGAUACCGUCGUAGUCUUAACCAUAAACUAUGCCGACUAGGGACCGGAUGAUGUUAAUUUUUUAAUGACUCAUUCGGUGCCUUA